CUAACAUAGUAUUAAAAAACAAUUUUUGCCCUAUUUUUUUUUUUUUUUUUAUGAAAAAAAUGAAUAAUUGUCAACUCCUAGUGCAUUCCAAAACCAGUUCACGCAGUUCUUUGCAACAACCAAUUGUUUAAACAAAACGCACGCUUUGGCACUACUUUAAAAGUAAUAUACACAUAGAUAUUAUGAGUUUUUUGCCUCUUUGAAAUUAAUAUGUAGUGUAAAAACAUAAAUCAUUCAACCCUCACUAGAGAUAUUUGUAUACAUUAAUAUUAAAAAGAAAAAAAAAAGAAAAACACUCAAAAACCAAAUUUCAUCCAUUGCUUUUCAUAGAUGAGUUUCCAGAUAAGUUUUGAACAGUUCAAGAAAAUUAGCAAACUUGAAAUGAAAAAUAAAAAAAAAAAUUGUAUACCUCAUUGCAUUAGCUGAAUUUUAUGUUUUGGACAUUUAAAAAUAACAAAGAAAAAAAAAAGAAAAGAAAGAAUAAAUAAAUAAAAAUUUAGUAUAUAACAAAAGCUAACACGUGUCAAAACCUUAACAUCAUUAUGGUUUGUGCGAUAAUUUUGAAUGAGAACCGACGCUAAUCCUUCGCAACAAGUCAAUCAUUUCGCUGCAGGAGGAGGAGGACACUAUUAAGGAGGACUAAAUUGAUUUAAAAGCUAUUAAGAAAAUUUAUAUAUUCGCCUUGUAGCGAGUGUGACGAACCUACCACCUCAAGCAAAUAUAGAACGUAAUGUAAUAAAAUCAUGUAUUUGAUAAUUAUAGGCGUAUUAGUUAAGCGAUCCGCACCUAAGGCAACAACAAAUUCGUCCUCAUGUCUGAUAUAGAAUACAGGCUAAUAGUCAAUUGAAAUAAUGUUGCCCGUCAGAAUAACAAAAUGUGUUGAGAUUAAGCUUUUAGUCGCAAUAUUUCAGAAAGAUGAUAAAAUUGAGGCAGAAUUUUAGGCUGUUCAAAAAUACUCGUGCAGCGUGCAGCGCGAACUUUUUGAUUAUUGAAAACAUCACACGGAAGAUAUUUAAACAUCCAUCUCGGUCAGUGUACUGUGCUGUAUCGCCAUGUAACGAUAUUCGACGCCUCCAGACGUUGUUGAGAAGUUGUCGGCUGUUUAGAGUUUUCCCUAUGGGAGAACUUCUAUAUUGCCCUUCUUUGUAAUUAUAUAUUCAAAUAUUCUCCUUUCUCAGAGUCUACACGCUAGGGUUUUUAUUGCGAUACCAAAUCGAUCGUAACGUUCGCUGCUCUAAGAUGAAAUCAAAAUGUGAUUACUCCGUAGAGAACGAUCGCCCAAGGAACGACACCGUUUAUUGAAUAUUCUCCGUCUUUCUUCUUUUCUAUUAUUUACCUAUUGGUUAUUGACAAUUUUGCUUAGCCCCGCAGAUAUUACAACUGCUCAGGUGAGACUAUUUCAAUUGUUCUAUUCGUUGCGUACGGCUGUUGUUUGACACAUUAAUGUGUGCUGUUAAUUUUUUCUUUACUUAACAACUCCAAAUUUUUUAUUUUCUUGACAAAACGUAUAAUUGAAUGUGUGCUACACGUUAGGCAGGCAUUGCUAUUAUAACCCCAGUUUCUUUAAAAUAUGCCAUAGUGGUUUUCAGAGCGACCAUAGUGGAGACCUAUCAACAUAAACAAAGAGAAAUAAAUUUUACAAUAAUUUCACAAGAUUACUUUCAAAGCCUCUUACUCCUAAAUUUUUUUCUCUGGUAGUCCAACGCUUUCGUAACAUCUUCUACACCCAAGUAAGAACCAUCAUGACCAUCUCGAAUACGUUUAAUCCAAACUCCGCAUUAAAGGUAUUCAGAACAAAAAAGAAAAAAAUAGGCCACGCCUACCCAAUGAUAUAAUUUUUGUCAAAACCUCUAUACCACUCAUAAGCAAGCUUGAAAAACCACCAUUAUGUAUAUGUUUCCUUAACCAUUGCCAAAUUUGGAAUACAUCUAAGCAAGUCCGUCUGUUCGCCUGUCCAUGUGUCCGUCUGCCCUGUACUUCUGUCCGCACAAAUGAGGAUAACGCCUACAGAUUUUCAAAAGAAGUUAAAGCCAAUCAAGGGACACUUUCAAUCAAUGUAAGUAAUUUGAGAGAUUCUCCUCCAAACAUUUAUCCCGUAAUAAAUGGAAUUUAAUUUGUCUAUAAGUUUUACUUUAUCCAUAGAAUCCUAAAUGGUUUUUUCAAAUUUUUUCUUGAAAUUUACCGUAAGCACAUUGCGUAUCUUUUAUGGUGUCUUAACGGCUUCUGUGGAAUAACCUAUUACCACAAAUUCAAAUCUUGUAACUCUUUCUCCCGUGUCAAGGUCCCUUAGUUCUCUUGCAAGAAAUUAAACUGAUACAACUUUGAAAAAACACUGAGAAUUUUUUUGCAAUUUUCGUCUUUUGAUCUCGUGAAUAUGUAAGCAGAGCAUAACCAUUUUUUAGCCGUUAGUUUUUAAUCGAUAAAGGAACGUUUGUAGCAGAUUUCAACCGCUUAUCCGCAUUUUUGCGAUUGUAGCUAUUUAACAAAAAAAAAGAAGAGAAUCACGAUGAUCCCCUUUGUUAGACAAAGUAUACGCGAAACCCCGGCGAUAAUAUUUGAUGACCGAUGUGGAUAGAAUACAUUUACUGAUGCGCUAUGCUGAUGAGUUGCACAUUUCUCUCAACUUAGACCUAAAACUGAUAUUUACCGAUACGUCAACCAAAAAAAAAGGAUAAAUUUUGUGGGUUAAAUUCUGCCACUUUAUGGUGCCCAUGAUGUACAUUUCCGAAUUCUGUAUUAC